rnacentral:rRNA from 1 species
UGGGGAAUAUUGGACAAUGGGCGAAAGCCUGAUCCAGCCAUGCCGCGUGUGUGAAGAAGGUCUUCGGAUUGUAAAGCACUUUAAGUUGGGAGGAAGGGCAUUAACCUAAUACGUUAGUGUUUUGACGUUACCGACAGAAUAAGCACCGGCUAACUCUGUGCCAGCAGCCGCGGUAAUACAGAGGGUGCAAGCGUUAAUCGGAAUUACUGGGCGUAAAGCGCGCGUAGGUGGUUUGUUAAGUUGGAUGUGGAAUCCCCGGGCUCAACCUGGGAACUGCAUUCAAGACUGACUGACUAGAGUAUGGUAGAGGGUGGUGGAAUUUCCUGUGUAGCGGUGAAAUGCGUAGAUAUAGGAAGGAACACCAGUGGCGAAGGCGACCACCUGGACUAAUACUGACACUGAGGUGCGAAAGCGUGGGGAGCAAACA